rnacentral:lncRNA from 1 species
UUGAGGCUGACAAUAUGAUACCUGCUCAGGAGAAACUGAAGUUGGCGUUUGUCACAGUUAAGUAUGAUUGUAUGUAAAAUGACCUAAGUACGGGUCUACAACAUAUUUUCUAUUAUGCAAUCAGUAAGGGCUAUGUUUAUAAGAUCUAGCAAUAUUAAAUCUAUAAAUGACAAUUGUCAAAGAAAGCUGCAUAGUAUAAGCAAACUAACAAAGUUGUUGGUAUCAUCCUGUAUUUGAAAAUGAUUUAUAUUUUAUGGUUUCUCUUUAUGUUUUAUUCACAUUAACACUAGAUUAUUUUCUAAUAAAAUUUUGAAUGUAUAUUCAAAAUUAAAAUACCCUCAAGGUAACAGAAUUCAGUUAAUGGUGAAUGUCCAGAAAACAUAGAGUGUAGACAGCAUGCCCAUUUGCUGAAACAUUGUUGCCACUCAGCCAACUUGUAGUAUGUGCAGUCUUUUCCAGAAGGUUCUCAGUGGGUCAAUAUUUCUGGAUGCUGUAGGAAAAUUAAGGUAAGACAUCUUUUCUUAUUGUUUUUAUGUGUAUUGCAAAGUUAUUGCAACCCCUUUGUUAUUGAAUUUUCACUAGGACAGCCUCAGGCUAAAUAAGACCCCAAAGCAUUGAAAACAGUGUAGAUUCCCCGCAAAGAUCCAAAUUAAGGCUAAAAUCUAACUACUCAUAAUUGUUGCAGGAUUUCCAUUCAGUUCAACAGCAAUGAAUACUUUAGAAUCAGAUUGGUUAGCACACGGUGGUUGGCAUCAUUAAUACCAAAAUGCUUUUGGAAUUACACACUUGGACUUAAAUCCCAAUGUUAAUUUUUAUUGUUUCCUACGAAUUAGUUAUCAUUAUAAACAACCAUUUUUUCAUAUAUAAAAUCAAUAUAGUGAGACAGCACUCACGAGAUUGCUGUGUAAAAAGGGAAUUAAGAUAAAAUAUGUUAAACAGCACAAUGUCCAUCUAGACUAGUGCUGGAGCCUCACAGGACUGCCUCCAUCCUCCUUCUGGGGAGUGUGCCCUCAAAGAAAACAGGGUCAUCUCAUCCUGGCUAACACGGUGAAACCCCAUCUCUACUAAAAAUACAAAAAAUUAGCUGGGCGUGGUGGCGGGUGCCUGUAGUCCCAGCACUUUGGGAGGCCGAGACGGGCGGAUCACGAGGUCAGGAGAUGGAGACCAUCCUGGCAAACAUUGGGAAACCCCGUGUCUACUAAAAAUACAAAAAAAUGAGCCGGGCGUGGUGGCGGGUGCCUGUAGUCCCAGCUACUAGGGAGGCUGAGGCAGGAGAAUGGCAUGAACCCUGGAGGCGGAGCUUGCAGUGAGCCGAGAUCGCGCCGCUGAACUCCAGCCCGGGUGACAGAGCAAGACUCUGUCUCAAAAAAAAAAAAAA